rnacentral:rRNA from 1 species
AGACGGAGGGUGCUAGCGUUGUUCGGAAUCAUUGGGCGUAAAGGGCGUGUAGGCGGCUCGUUAAGUCAUGCGUGAAAGCCCUCGGCUUAACCGAGGAAGUGCGUAUGAUACUGGCGAGCUAGAGUUCGGAAGAGGGGGGUGGAAUUCCAGGUGUAGCGGUGAAAUGCGUAGAUAUCUGGAGGAACACCGGUGGCGAAGGCGACCCCCUGGUCCGACACUGACGCUGAGACGCGAAAGCGUGGGUAGCAAACAGGAUUAGAUACCCCGGUAGUCC